rnacentral:tRNA from 1 species
GGAGAGAUGGCUGAGUGGUCGAAAGCGACUGAUUGCUAAUCAGUUGUACAUAUUUUAUGUACCGAGGGUUCGAAUCCCUCUCUCUCC